rfam:Aedes aegypti strain Liverpool supercont1.154 genomic scaffold, whole genome shotgun sequence.
UGCCCAGCAACUCCUAUCCUUACCUCCUCGUGGUACUGGCCGGGGUACGAGUAACCUUGGGGAAGAUCGGGUAACCAACCCCCGGUGGGAACUUUGGUCGUAUGCUGACAGGGAAGG